AUUGGACGCUGGCGGCAGGCCUAACACAUGCAAGUCGAGCGGAUGACGGGAGCUUGCUCCUUGAUUCAGCGGCGGACGGGCGAGUAAUGCCUAGGAAUCUGCCUGGUAGUGGGGGACAACGUUUCGAAAGGAACGCUAAUACUGCAUACGUCCUACGGGAGAAAGCAGGGGACCUUCGGGCCUUGCGCUAUCAGAUGAGCCUAGGUCGGAUUAGUUGGUUGGUGAGGUAAUGGCUCACCAAGGCGACGAUCCGUAACUGGUCUGGGAGGAUGAUCAGUCACACUGGAACUGAGACACGGUCCAGACUCCUACGGGAGGCAGCAGUGGGGAAUAUUGGACAAUGGGCGAAAGCCUGAUCCAGCCAUGCCGCGUGUGUGAAGAAGGUCUUCGGAUUGUAAAGCACUUUAAGUUGGGAGGAAGGGUUGUAGAUUAAUACUCUGCAAUUUUGACGUUACCGACAGAAUAAGCACCGGCUAACUCUGUGCCAGCCGCCGCCGUAAGAC
rnacentral:rRNA from 1 species